rnacentral:rRNA from 1 species
UGGGGAAUAUUGCACAAUGGGCGAAAGCCUGAUGCAGCGACGCCGCGUGAGGGAUGGCGGCCUUCGGGUUGUAAACCUCUUUCAGCAGGGACGAAGCGCAAGUGACGGUACCUGCAGAAGAAGCACCGGCUAACUACGUGCCAGCAGCCGCGGUAAUACGUAGGGUGCAAGCGUUGUCCGGAAUUACUGGGCGUAAAGAGUUCGUAGGCGGUUUGUCGCGUCGUUUGUGAAAACCAGCAGCUCAACUGCUGGCUUGCAGGCGAUACGGGCAGACUUGAGUACUGCAGGGGAGACUGGAAUUCCUGGUGUAGCGGUGAAAUGCGCAGAUAUCAGGAGGAACACCGGUGGCGAAGGCGGGUCUCUGGGCAGUAACUGACGCUGAGGAACGAAAGCGUGGGUAGCGAACAGG